rnacentral:rRNA from 1 species
UACGUAGGGUGCAGGCGUUAAUCGGAAUUACUGGGCGUAAAGCGUGCGCAGGCGGUUUGCUAAGACAGGUGUGAAAUCCCCGGGCUUAACCUGGGAACUGCGCUUGUAACUGGCAAGCUAGAGUGUGGCAGAGGGGGGUGGAAUUCCAGGUGUAGCGGUGAAAUGCGUAGAUAUCGGGAGGAACACCUGUGGCGAAGGCGGCCCCCUGGUUGGAUACUGACGCUGAGACGCGAAAGCGUGGGGAGCAAACAGG